rnacentral:pre_miRNA from 1 species
AGAUAUGUUUGAUAUUUUUUGGUGGUGAUAUUUUCUAAUCCACCAAGUAUCAAUCAUGUCCGCG